CCUACGGGAGGCAGCAGUGGGGAAUAUUGCGCAAUGGGCGAAAGCCUGACGCAGCGACGCCGCGUGAGGGAUGAAGGUCUUCGGAUCGUAAACCUCUGUCAGCAGGGAAGAACGGUCACUGUGCUAAUCAGCAGUGAAUUGACGGUACCUGCAAAGGAAGCACCGGCUAACUCCGUGCCAGCAGCCGCGGUAAUACGGAGGGUGCGAGCGUUAGUCGGAAUUACUGGGCGUAAAGCGCUCGUAGGCGGUAUGUCAAGUCAAGUGUGAAAUCCCCGCGCUCAACGUGGGAACUGCAUUUGAAACUGGCAAACUGGAGUGUGUGAGAGGAUAGUGGAAUUCCAGGUGUAGGAGUGAAAUGCGUAGAUAUCUGGAGGAACAUCAGUGGCGAAGGCGACUAUCUGGCACAUAACUGACGCUGAGGAGCGAAAGCGUGGGUAGCAAACAGGAUUAGAUACCCGUGUAGUC
rnacentral:rRNA from 1 species